AGCGAACGCUGGCGGCAGGCCUAACACAUGCAAGUCGAACGAACCUUUCGGGGUUAGUGGCGGACGGGUGUGUAACCCGUGGGAACGUGCCCUCAGGUUCGGAAUAACUCAGGGAAACGUGUGCCAAUAGCGAAUGUGCCCUUCGGGGGGAAGAUUUAUUGUCCUUAGAGCGGCCCGCGUCUGAUUAGCUAGUUGUUUGAGGUAAUGGCUCACCAAGGCGACGAUCAGUAGCUGGUCUGAGAGGAUGAUCAGCCACAUUGGGUGUGGGACACGGCCCAAACUCCUACGGGAGGCAGCAGUGGGGGAUCUUGCGCAAUGGGCGAAGGCAUGACGCAGCCCUGCCGCGUGAAUGAUGAAAGUCUUAGAAUUGUAAUAUUCUUUCACCGGGGACGAUAAUGACGGUACCCGGAGAAAAAGCCCCGGCUAACUUCGUG
rnacentral:rRNA from 1 species